CCAAUAGCGUAUAUUAAAGUUGUUGCAGUUAAAAAGCUCGUAGUUGAAUUUCGGGAUCAAGUCGUCGGUCGUGCUCAGGUACGUACUGGCGUCAUUGAUUUCUCCCUUCUGACGAACCAUGAUGUCAUUAAUUUGGUGUUAUGGGAAAUCAGGACUGUUACUUUGAAAAAAUUAGAGUGUUUAAAGCAGGCUCACGCUUGAAUACAUUAGCAUGGAAUAAUGAAAUAGGACGUUCGAUCCUAUUUUGUUGGUUUUAGGAUCAACGUAAUGAUUAAUAGGGAUAGUUGGGGGCAUUAGUAUUCAAUUGUCAGAGGUGAAAUUCUUGGAUUUAUUGAAGACUAACUACUGCGAAAGCAUUUGCCAAGGAUGUUUUCAUUAAUCAAGAACGAAAGUUAGGGGAUCGAAGACGAUCAGAUACCGUCGUAGUCUUAACCAUAAACUAUGCCGACUAGGGAUCGGAUGAUGUUAAUUUUUUAAUGACUCAUUCGGCGCCUUACG
rnacentral:rRNA from 1 species